UUUUUCCUAUCGAGCUGACACAUAUAUAUAUACAAAACUCAUACCUAGCUACAUGUAUACCACAUGUCUGUGUUUGUGUUUGUGUGUGUACAUGUGGAUGUGUACAUGAAACGAAGUGGAUGAAACAAAUGCGUGUGAUUUGUUUUACGAAUUGCGAUGAUAAGGCCCACGCCGUUUUCGCUUUGACCAGAAACACAACACAAAGGCACUACAACAGCAAAGAGGUGUGUCCUACUGAAGCUGCCCACUAGUUAUUCGAUGUACUGAGGUCUGCCUGAAAAAAUACCCGCCCACCAAGCACUGUGUUUAUCCACCGGCUUUAGGAAAUCUGCUAUUGAGAAAAAUAUGAGGGAGACGAAGAGAUAAAUCUAAUACGUCAGUACUUUAUACAUAUCGAUUGGUCGAUUUAGAUUGGAUAAAAAAAACUAUAUUGACCUCGGCGAGGUUUGAACUCAAGACGCAGCACUCCAUAAAUAUGUGAUGGAUGUGUGAAUCUUGCUUUGAAUGUAUCACUUGUUACUUCGAUGUUUCACUUCAUAUUUAGUCCUCCUACAUAACUAUUGCCUUGAAAGAACACGAGCUUACGUCAGCUCCCAUUUUAAAGACAUGGUUUUGAUCAGUUGCCGUUAUAUUUGAUUUUGACUGUGUGCUACAUAAACGGUUAUUUAAAGCUGUUGAUUGGUUUGGGUUCUUUGGGCACCGAAAUCUAACUUUCGUAUUCUUCCGAUUUUAGACAACGAGAAUAUUAUCAAUGUCAGAUACACCAACCAAUUGACCAAUAAGUAUUUAAUAACACUGCAGUAAUUUUUAAAAAGAGAUUUUAAAAAGAAGAAACACUCGACAACCUGGAUCUACCAUCGAAUCUAGCUACGGAAAACAGGAAGGCCAACGAAUUAGCAAAUGAGAAAACGACACCCAUAGACACAAACAUAAUAAAAUAACAUUUAGAAAUCUAAACUAUAAGUAUAUACAAAUAUAUGAAUACGAUUCAUUAUUCAUUUUAAAAGUUCACGAAAUACAAUGAAAGUUUCAAAAUAAAUUUACAUUGUUUAUCUCGGGCAUCCGUAAAAAGAAGCAAUAAUCUUAUAUCCCCGGACAUACAGAAAGACGACAUCACAGAGAUAGAAGGUUUAGCUUCGAAGUCACUAUCCACGUUUGACCUCAGUUGAACGAUUCCAUCUGCAAAUCACACUAUUGAUUUCUCACAUAAGCAUAAUGUCUCCCGUUUUGCUGGAGAAGGAAACAGAUGAUUAUAUUGAUCCCACUCCUUGAGGCCUACUUCUUGCAUCGACUUUCGCAUGGGACAACAAGGAAUAUCAGCCCCCAACAGGAUUUGAACUUAAAAUGCAACGGGACGUAUUUGACUGCGGCCGUGCUGGAGCACCGCGUUUAGUCGAGCAAAUCGACUCCAGGAUUUAUUCAUUGUAAGCUUAAUACUUAUUCUAUCGGUGUCUUUUGCCGAACCGCUAAGUAACGGGGACGUAAACACACAAGCAUCGGUUGUCAAGCGAUGUUGGGUGGGGGUACAAACACAGGCACACAAGCACACAUACGCACACACACACACACACACAUAUAUACCAGAGAGAGAGAGAGUGAGAGGAGAGCGGAAUAAAUAGAUAGAGAGAGAUAUACGUACAUACACACGCACACACGUACACACACACACACACACACAUAAUACACCUUUGUAUAAUUUCAUACCUUCACGCUACAUAGUCUUUUUCUCUAUUUCUCUUAAUCUAUCUCUCUCUUUCUCGCUUUCUCCCUCUCAUACACACUCACAUACAUACACACGUAUGCACACAUACACACUCGCAUAUAUACAUGCGCAUGUAUACACGCACACACACACACACAAACGUACGCUUGCGCACACGCGCACACACAUUCUCGCAACCCGCUCUGCCACCCCCCCCCCUCCGCUUCUCAUCUGCAGCAUCUUUUCCAUCACCUGAUUGCAGAACACUUUGCUGUGCCACGAGAUUUAACUCUCAGCAAAAUAUAAGCACUAAUAGCAUAUUCAAAGACCCAGUCUUCGCUCACAGAUUUGCACUAAUGCUAAAUAGCAGCAUGAUUAUUGGGAGAGCGAGAGUGAGGGAGAGAGAGAGAGAGAGAGAGAGUGAGAGAGAACGAGUGGGAGGGAGAGUUAGAGAAAGUGUGUGAAAGAGCGUGUGUUAUCUGUUGUGAGAGCUUUCUCCCUUUCCCUCUCUCUCUCUCUCACUUAUUCUCUCUCUCUCACUUAUUCUCUCUCUCUCACUUAUUCUCUCUCUCUCACUUAUUCUCUCUCUCUCUCUCACUUAUUCUCUCUCUCUCUCUCACUUAUUCUCUCUCUCUCUCUCACUUAUUCUCUCUUUUUCUCUGUCUCUCUCUGUCUCUCUCUCUGAAGAUUUACGUAGAUUCAUAUAAACGGUUGCUAAAUAAGAAAAAAAGCAAUGGAGAGACGAAGAGAGAGACAGAGAGAGAGAGAGAAGGGGGGAGGGGAGAGACUUGGGAAGGAGAGAAUGUUUCAAGGAACGCGAGGACGAGGGAGAAGAGAGAAAGGACUAAGCAAAGAAGAGGAGAAGAAGGUGUGAGAGAGUAAUGAUGAGGUACAUGGAGGGGGAGGCUAACAGAGAAAGAAAGAAAGAAAGAAAGAAAGAAAGAAAGAAAGAAAGAAAGAAAGAAAGAUAGAAAGAAAAAAGGCAUAAUGGGUGGUAGAAAGAGGAAAGACAUUGGCUGGAUGACAGAGAGAAAGAUAGAGAGUAAGAAUGAUAGAGAAAGAGGAAGAGAAAGAGAGAGAUAUGGAAAGUAGACGGGUGAGAGGGAAGGGGAAGGGGUAUGUUUGCUCGUUUCGUCGUCCUUAUAUCUGAGAUAUUGUAACACAACACUAUGAAUGUAGGUCGUAACCGGGGAGGAAUCAGAUAAGGGUUCCAAUUUCACCUCAUCUCAGUAAUGCCACACCCAGCGCCACCACCACUGCUAAAACUACUACUACGACAGCUAAUAAUAAUAAUAAUAAUAAUAAUAAUAAUAAUAAUAAUAAUAAUAAUAAUAGUUUUUUUUUUACCCCUGUGUCACUUUGAUGGCAUGCGCUGCUCUCUUACUUAACAAUAAUAAUAAUAAUGCCCUGAUGCAGUACCAGGCAGUGGCUCUCAUGGCUUCUCAUCUUAACUGAUUGGAAGUGUUAUCAUGCACAUUGUUUUGUCUUGGUAUAAAAGAUGGGCUACAGCAAAUAUUCUGCUUAAUACGAUAGAUCUGCUGGUUAGUUGUUUGACCUUAAAUAGUUGAACAUGUCCCUUAGUAGCUGAGGAUAUGUGCAUAUCUGAUCACGAGCAGAAGUAGUGAGGAAGCAUCAUAGUCAUGUGUUGAGAGGAAAUGUUGGGGGUUUGGAUAUUUCACCUGUGGAAACAUGGGUGUUUCGUUCAACAUCCUUAAACUACCCUUAUUCAGAAACCUUUUGAGCGGGAUAGGCUACGCGACCUGAAGAAAAUUCUCUCUCUGAGAGAUUUAGAAUUAAUAAUGUUUCUAUUUAUUAGAUCAGUGAUUGUGUGUCACAUUGAAAACUAUGUAUUUUCGAACGGGAUGUCAGUAGCGCCGUAUAGCCAAGCAGCUAAUGUGUGGUGAGAAAGUGCAAUAACCCAGAAACCAGUCCACAGAUGUUGCCUUGUGAUGGAACUGGGUGCUGAGCUCCCCUGUUCGAAAAUAUAAGGACGCAUAUUGUGUCGUAUAGCCAGCUGGAAACGACGUUUCCUGGGGCUAAACAACAGUAACAUUCGUCCCAUCCAGGACUGCCACAUUAUGUUAUCAAAUAGUCUUUACUUUAAAGAGAUGUUACUGAAUAUCUCUCUUUGAGAGAUUUAGAUAUAAUAAUGUAUCUGUUUAUUAGAUCAGUGGUCUACUAUGUGUGUGUGUGUGUGUGUGUGUGUGUGUGUGUGUGUGUGUGUGUGUGUGUGUGUGUGUGUGUGUGUGUGAUUGAAAUUUCGUUGACAGAAAUUGUAGGAAAGACCGUCGAUGAGACGGUUGGUGUUCCCAUGUCGCAGUCUUAAUCUGCUUCCCGUUUUCAUCCAACCAGUUGACCCUUGGAUGCCUUUAGAGAAUCUGCUUUUUUGCAAACAUUCGAUCAGGUCUCCUGUUUAAGAACAACUUCAUUUAAUCAUCCCAAAUUUCUCACAAGUCCUCCAACGGAUCAUGUCUGCUGCCUUACUAUCAAUAAUUAAGCUAUUACAACAAAAACCAAGCAAAAACACUAUCGAAGCAAGCCAAUCAGUUCCUGCUCUCGACCGGUUUUGCUUUUUAAAUAACCUUGAAGAUUUUGGUGCGUUGCCAAGCAAUUGUUUUUAUCCAUAUUUUUUCUCAUCUAAUUAGGAGAUAGCAAACAAAGCAUAUCUAAUUGUAAUUAUUGUCGCGAGAGUAGCUAGUUGGCAAGACUGAAGGAGCCCCAAACUAAAACCUUUCUGCUACCUUUUUAUACCUUUUUAUGCCUUCAUAUCUAUCAUUUUAUACAAUAAACAAUACGAAUGCAUUAUUAAACCAACAGCCUUAUUGUUCGCAGGAUUGUAUUGAUAUAAAAAGUUAUUACUAUAAUUAAUUAUGUGCGAUUGUAGAUGAGUUAAGAAAACACAUGUGUCAUGUUUAGUAACGAGCCUGUAUCUCCAGAGUUCAAAACCCACCGAAUUUCGAUCUAUCUAUUCUUAUGGUUGAAAUAAAUAUAAGAGAUGCUGAUUUUUGUAGGUGUUCUAGCUUCACACUUGCACCAAUCUUUUUCAGUCAUGUUCGUGGUUGAGUGUUCAUAUUUCCAAAUGCACCAAUUACUGUUGGUUUCUCCUCAUUGACCAAAAGCUUCGUAUUUCCCGCAUCAAAUUGCCAUAGCUGUUUCUUCUUCUUCUUCUUCUUCUUCUUCUUCUUCUUCUUCUUCUUCUUCUUCUUCUUCUUCUUCUUCUUCUUAUUAUUAUUAUUAUUAUUAUUAUUAUUAUUAUUAUUAUUAUUAUUAUUAUUAUUAUUAUUAUUAUUAUUAUUAUUAUUAUUAUUAUUAUUAUUAUUUCCGCUGGGGCCGACUUUGCCUUUCAUCCUUUCGAGGUCGAUAAAUUAAAUGCCAGUGAAACACUGGGGUCGAUGUAAUAGACUAGUCGCCUCCCCAAAAAAAUUUCAGGCUUGUGCUUUUAGUAGAAUGGAUGAUCAUCAUCAUUAUUAUUAUUAUUAUUAUUAUUAUUAUUAUUAUUAUUAUUAUUAUUAUUAUUAUUAUUAUUAUCAUUAUUAC